rnacentral:rRNA from 1 species
CAGCCGCCGCGGGAAUACGAAGGGGGCUAGCGUUGCUCGGAAUUACUGGGCGUAAAGGGAGCGUAGGCGGACAUUUAAGUCAGGGGUGAAAUCCCAGAGCUCAACUCUGGGACUGCCUUUGAUACUGGGUGUCUUGAGUGUGAUAGAGGUAUGUGGAACUCCGAGUGUAGAGGUGAAAUUCGUAGAUAUUCGGAAGAACACCAGUGGCGAAGGCGACAUACUGGAUCAUUACUGACGCUGAGGCUCGAAAGCGUGGGGAGCAAACAGGAUUAGAUACCCCAGUAGUCCCUGUCUCUUAUCC